rnacentral:lncRNA from 1 species
UAAUUAACUGGGCAGCUUUCAGCACCAGUUUGGGAUUGCUGCAUCUUUAUCUAAAGCAUCUGACUGCUGCCAGGUGUGAGAGGGGCUGUGUCUGGUGUGAGACGAACUGUUAUGCAGCAGAAAUAGAUGUUUGGGUCACUGAGGGUUUAUGAGCUGAAGGGAAAGCCCCAUUCCCACAAUCACCUCAUCACCCACAUCAGCUACAGCUGGGUACCAGACGGGAGGAUAUCACCUCUUCUAUCUUGCUCCAGAGGAAGGUGGGCAGUAAUGAGUAAUUAACAUCACUGCUUGAAACCACACUUUCUAUAGGCUCCUGCCUCCCUGGGGCUGCAGCAUCUGCCCUGGAUCACAGCGUGUUAUGAGAACAGCCAAGGGUGAGGCUCUGGAGAAGUUACCUGGGGAAAGCACAGGGGACCCCCAUGCUACAGUGCAGGGGGAGCAUGUCAAGCACCCAAGCUGCAUUACUCCAAGAGCCAAGUGGAGAAGAAGCAGAUGCAACUCGUCUCAAGAACCACCACGUCCUUUAAUUCCCCACCAGUGAAGCGGGGCUCAGCCUGGCUCUGAAAUCACAGCUUUUAGCCCCAGAAAAACCCACGCUGAGCAGUGCAGGGUGUGCUUCGGUGGUGAUGCUGGCUGGUCUGAGCAAGGAAUUUUCCUCCUUACAACCCCUGCCAGCCUCAGAGGCACCGGGCUCAGAUCAUGGAGACCCUAUUCUUGAUGUAGACGUGGUACGGAUCGCUGCGCUUGUCCACCUUUCGGGACCGGGUGUAGCCCAGGAUGAGGCUGCCCACGGUGACGGCGAAGAGCGUCAUGACAAAGAGGAUGUACAGUAUCUCAGCAGCGAGACGUGGCAUGGUGAGGACAUGGCAUUGAGGACAGCCCCCAACCAUCCCACACCAUCUGUGUGCUCCAGCACCAGCGGGAUGUGACUUUUUCCAUCACCCUGCACCUUCUCAGUCCCUGGGCUCCUCAGAAAACACCACAGUGCAGUCAAAGACCUCCUGGAAGGACUCAAGGAAGGGCUCGAGGAUGUCCUCGACGGUGACAUGGCGACCCAAUUCACGGCUCAGUGAAGUGGCCGUCGUCCCCUCCAGCCCACAGGGCACGAUGUGCUCGAACCAGGAGAGGUCAAUGCAGCAGUUCAGUGCCAGCCCGUGGGAGGUGAUGUGGUUCCCACAGUGCACCCCUAAAGGAUGAGGCACCCAUCAG